rnacentral:misc_RNA from 1 species
AAGUCGUAACAAGGUUUCCGUAGGUGAACCUGCGGAAGGAUCAUUAUACGUUUAUCCAACGUACCAACCAACGCGCUCUCGUUUAACCCGGGUCUGUGCACGAGCUUUCUUAGGCCAUCCAAAAUAUGGUGGGAACCGCAAGGUUCUGUUUGGGUGGUCGAUCACGAACUCGCGCACUGCAACCAUUUUUUUUAAAUAUAUUUUAAACGCAUUGUAAUCACUUGUACUAAUUACGAAAAACAUCUUGUUUUUAUUAUUUUUUCGUUUUUUUUUAAAAUUCUAAAAAAGAAAAAAAGAAGGUGGAAUUAAGACAUUAAUUGCUGAACAACUCUUAGCAACGGAUAUCUUGGUUCUC